GCCAGAGCGUGCCACAGCCCGGGCACCGCGCGCGAAAAGCCGAGCUCCCCUGCGGUCGGGCGGCAGCCCCGCGCCCAGGCUCGGCAGGGCGCAGGGCACCGGCGAGGCAGACCCACCACGCCCUGCCCGCCUGUGUCAUGGCACGGGAAUGAGGAUGAGCCCAGGUGCACAACCCGCCCGGCCGGCCGCAGGGAGGGGCCGCCGGCCUCCUCCUCCACCUCCGAGGCCAGGCUCCCCUUGCUGCUCUGCGCCGCUGCCCUCGGAGGAGGGCUUGUCCAGGGGUGUCCUGGGCCAGGACCCAGGACCGCAGGACUAGCUGGCCGGCCAUUCAUUCAUCCACCGGAGACUGAUGUAGUGAGUCGGUGGCAGGAGGGAAGCAGGUCUGCCUGGCCAUGGGUCGGCCAGCGAGGAGCACCCAUUCAUGGGGUAAACCCCGCGACAGAAACUUCCGGCAAGAAGGCUUGGUGCAAAACCAAACAGGGCGAGGAAGUACAAGCGCAGGCAGUUGGAGUUGAUGGUGGCCAGGGUUUUAAGGCUCCAAGAGCCUGAACUCUGAAGCCUCAGGGCCCUUGUCUCUGCUCCCUGGACUGUCCCCUGCUCAGGGGCCACUGACCCCACUGCGAGGACCCAAGGUUUGGAGGGUCUCCUGGAUCCCCGAGUCCUGGGCUGGGACUGGAGGUCAGGGCUUCUGAACCCAUGUGUGGCUGUCCUGGGCAAAAAGGCUGGUCACCCACUGUGGGGGCCACGUUCUUCUCUGGCCCAGUGGGAAGAGGCAGCCCCGGGAGGGGAGAGAGGAACAGCGUGGGCAGGGCUGGGGUGGCACCUUCAUGGGGAGUCCUUCCAACUCUGGCCUCCACCCGCCAUGAACUACCGCGGUUCUCCCUGUUCCGUCCUGGUGUGGCCCAGAAUCCAGACCCAUGCACCCCCCCACCCAUGUGCACUCUGGUACUUUCCGGUGACCCUUUGGGGGCAGUGUCUGACUUCCUUGCUGGGAGCUGAGCAUUUGCUUUUCUCCUUGAUGUUUGGUAGCACGAAGGGUGAAACCACCUGAGCCUGCAAGGUCUCUGAUUAAGGCUCUAAUCACCGCUGGGCACGGUGGCACACCUGUAACCCCGAGUGCCUGGGCGGUGGGGCAGGAGGAUCCCAAGUUUGAGGCCUGUCUCAGGAUAAAAUAAGAAGUGCCAAUCCCCAGCUCUGCAAAAAAGUUCUUUCUUCAAGCGAUACCUCUGUCUCUGUGACUCAGUGACUGUAAUAGAUGUCAUCUCUGUGUGACGUCGUCAACCGGAGCUCUGACGUUCACCACAGAGGCACGUCCGUGUCAUUAUUCCUUGGGGCCUUGUGGGCAUCGACUUAUCCUUGAGGGAGCUCUGGCCCUUUGAGUCUUUCAGAGACUGUCCAUUCCUCUGCGUCCUUGGUGUGUGGCGACGCGCCCUUCGUAACACCCCGGCGCUCCUGCUGCCUGUAGGAUCCGUAGUGAUGCCCCCUGCGCCCUCGGUGCUGGACAGUCUCUGCCCUUGCCCCCGGACCUGCAGGCAGGGGCUCCUGGGUUUCAGAGAGCUGUCUGCAGCGUCCCGGGCUCCACCGCCCGGCCGCCGCGCGCUCGGCCCCCUUCCCCCAGCGUCCACUCCCCGCAGGCCUCAGCCCACGCACCCUGCGAGAGGUCUCCCACCCUGGCCAUGAGGGCCGCCGUCCUGUGGCCUCUCCUCUGACCCUCUUCCAGACUCGCCCUCCCUUGUGGGGGCCUCACCGCUCAUCUCUCCAGUUACACGGUGGACACAUGCGCAGACCACAGCUGCCCGCCCUGUGUAGGGUGAGCCCAGUGGGGCAGGGAUGAAUAGGGAUGGUUCCUGACUCGGAGGAUCUUCCCAGGGGUUGUGUGACGUCUUCCUGGAGCUGGGAAAGGCCCGUGGUGGCUCCAGCGCCGGGCGCUCAGCCAGCCACACACCAGGGAGCCCCUCUGCCGGCCCCCGCUGACUGGCUGCCCCCACCUGGGGGCUGCCUCCACACCCCCCUGAAAACAGGAAUCGAAUCUAAAAGUGACUGCUUUCUCCUGGAGAUGACUGAUCCUUUGAGGAAGUUGGCGAAGUGCUGGGUGGAGGUGAGACUGUCCCCAACCGUGGGGAGAGAGGAGCCGGCUGUCCGCAGGGCCGGGAGGCAGAGGCCAGCAGUCUGCCCUCCUCACUGCUCUGCUGUCCCUCAGGAGGAGGAGAGCCACAAACGCCAGUGACAGAUAGGGACACUGAGGCCCAGCAGCAAGUCUGGGCCGGAGCCAGGCCACGUGGCCAGCCUCCUGCCCCCUUUGGCUCCCCAGGCCAGAGAGAUGCCCCGUGACUCCGGGGCUCGGCCCCCGCCGUGGCAGCUGCUCCCGCAGCCUGGCCCCUCAGAGUGUCCUAGGGCAGACCCCACCUCUGCCCAGGAGCAGACAACCCACGUCCCGGGCGUCAGGACGGUGACAGGCGGCAAAGACAGGGUCCCCUGGUGUUUUUCAGACUCUGGGCUACAGUCCAUCUGCGGGUCCCAGAGCCCACGUUGUGAGCCGCCAACAAUUAUCCUGGUCAUCAUCGUGAUUUUUGCCUUUGAUGAAACACGGGAGGUUGACGUCCACGGCGCAGCCCCAGCAGGGCCUGCUCCCGCGGGACAGCCGCUGGCGUGUGCCUCUGGGGACCCAAGGUGGAGGAGAGAGGUCGAAGCCUGUCCCCGGCUGCAGCUCCCGUGGGACUGCCUAGUGGCCCAGUGUGCAUGGAAACGUCGUCACCCCACAGUGACACGCUGGCCCAGGGACCGGGUCUCCUCCCUGUCUCCUCGCUGUGUGGUCCUAGGCACGUCACCUGAGCUCUCUGAUCCCCGUGUCUCCUUGAAGUGGAAAACAGAGGGAGUCUCUGAGGAAUGAGGGGGACCCGGGGGUCUCAGCUGGGGCCUCACACCAGCUGCAGUGAGGACGAGGACAAUGAAUUGGGACAGGGCCAGGCGUAACCGAAGCGGGUUCAGUUAGAACCUUGUGUCCUGGGGCUGGGGCGUAGCUCACGGCUGGCGCCUGCCUGCCCUAGGGGCCCAGCUCGGCACUGACCUGGGGAGCUGGGCGGCCAUCAGACCUAAGGCAGGCCCUGCCCAGCUGGGACUCAGUUUCCCCAUGAGAAGAGGCCAAGCAGCAGCCUCUCCUGGCGAGGCUUGGGCAGGGGGGUGCGCACCUGAGCACCAGCCGCGGGCCAGGAGCCCACGGCCACCUCGGCCAGCCCCGGUCACUGCGGCUCCCAAGCCGAGGGCCGUGGGUCUCGGAGCCUCCUGGGGGUGCAGGCGUCUCCCCCACGGUUGGGCCUCCGUCCACUGCAGGAGCCCUCGGGGGUCUCACGCCCUAGCUGCGGAGAGUCCUGGCCUGAGACGCAGUGGCCCCCGUGGCCCCCGUGGCCCAUGCUGGGAGGUCCCCAGAGCUUCAGAGGGGGACCUGCACUGUUGCCUGGGGGCCUUUGCCUGUUUUUAAGGUAAUUUCUUUUUUUACCUUAUUUUGUCGCCGUAGACGGGCAGCCCUUAUUGUCUGUGUUUCUGUGCGGAGCGGAGGGUCUGACCUGCUGGCCCGCGCCCUGCGCCAGGCCGCCCGGGGACCUCUUAUUUGGCAUGAUUUUAGAUGUGUAGAGAAGUCGUGGCCCCCAGGGUCCCCUCAGCCCCCUGCAGCCCCCUGUGGCACCUGGCAGACCCUCCUGUACUGGCCACAGGGGUGGGGCGGGGUCAUGCGGCACGUCUGGUGUCCACUGGCUGGACUGCAGGCCUCCCCACGUCUCCCCACAAACCCUUCCCGUGCUCCGGGGGCCUCACCUGGCGCUCGGGCCCCCUUCUCUCCUAACUUUUUACUGAGAAAUAACUUCAUACCAUGGAAGUUGCUCCUGGGUUCUUCUGUGCAGGGCCACGUGGCGCUCCGUUUCCUGUACUCGCUGUCUCUGCACACGCUCACACACACGUGCACACACGCAUACACACAUGUGCACACAUGCGCACGCGCAGUAACGAGGGGCGGGUGGAGCCUCCCUCCCCCCUUCCUUCCUCCGUGGUCUCGAGGGCCGUGGACUCUGGGCUCAGAGCAUCCUCCUGCCCCUGCCCCCUGCGCCCCAGCGGGACGUCCCGCUGAGCGCAUUGCUAGGUGGCUUCGGUGGGAGCACGUUCGCACAGACCAAGACGGUACAGGUCAGUCGCUCCACGUGGCCUCUCGAGGCCAUCAAGACACGCUGUGCUCUAAAAUAAGGAUCCAGAGUGUAGUGUGGACAGCGGGCGGGGGCCAUGCCGGUCAUGCCGGACUCCCCACGACUCUGGAGGCUGAGGCAGGAGGAUCUCAAGUUCCAGGCCAGCCUGGGAGACUUAGCAAGACCCUAAGCAACUUACUGAGACCCUGCCUCAAACUGAACUCGGGCUCGGGACGUGGGUUGGCAGCAGAGCAGCCUGCAUUCAGUCCCCAGGACCAGAAAAGUCUCCUAAAUUUAGGGCGUGAGUCAGCCACAUGGCCGCCAGUCACCACUUCAAGUGCCAUGUGCCACAGUGACCGCAAGCCACAUGCCCUGCUUCCUCCCGACUGGCAUUACCAGCAUUUCUGUGACAGCGGGAAGGCACCCAGCUCUGUUGUCACCAGGCGAUGGGACGUCAGCUCCAUCCCGAUGGCGCCGCUGACUGACCUGGGGGGCUCUGUAGGGGGACAGGCGGCCAGCCACGGGGAACUGCGUGUGUUCAGACCGCGUGCGAGCGCACACGGACACACUCACCACCCUCACUGCAUGUGAAUUGCUCGAUGGCGUCUGCCCUGGGCCCCAGGAGUGGGAAGUCCUCUGGCCGAGCGGCCUGGUGGCCGAGUGGCCCUGGCAUACACGGGCACAGUUGACUGGCACACGCCCGGUUUCCCUGAGCCGCCGGCUGACUCCUGUCCCCGCCGAGGCCUCUGGGGAUCGAGAAGCAAGGAGCCAGCACAAUGGCUGGGGUCGGCGAUGGGCAGGGCCGCCCUCGGCCAGCCUGCGCCCUUUCCCACUCUGCCAGCCCCCAACUCCCCACGCACGUCCCUCACCGCGGGAGAGACGUUUUCUUGGACCUUGAGUCCAAGAGACUGGACACCAGGGAAGGCUCAGAGGCCAGGUGGCCGCCGCCCGCCCGCACAGAUGCAGAGGGAGCUGCGGGCGCCUGGCGGGUGGCGGGUGGUGGUCCGCCGGCUCCUGGUUCCCCUUUCUGGCCCGGCCCGGCCACCCUUCCCUUUUCACUGCUGUCCCAGUUCCUCCCUCCCGGGCCAGGCACAGGACUUGUCCCCACUCCCCGUCCCCAGGACGGCCCCGGCCAGCGUCCCCCAGGGCCCAGCGACCAGCUCCUGCCCCGCCUCCCUCCAGGCUCAGAGGCUUUGCAGAGGGCCGUCUUGGCGUCAGCCUUGGACCCGGGGCUGGGCCGCGGCCUGGGUAUUGGUGGCCCAGUGGAGUGCUCACAGGCCAGGACCAGCUGUGCAGGCGCAGCCUGGCGGGCAGGGAGGGCCCGAGCUUCCUCCGAGCCACCCUCACGUUGUGCAGGAGGCUUUGCAAGGCCUGGGCCCUGCUCCUGUCUGCAGGCAAGGCCACCCAGCACGUCCCCCUCUCCCCAGCUGCACGGGGGCAGCUUGGAGCCCAUCACUGCCCACCCGGACUAGCACGGUCACCUCCACCUGGUCUCUGGCUCCAGGCCCGCCCCACCCCCGGGAUCUGUCCUCCCUGCAGAGGGUGCCUUUGAGCACCCGAACCAGGCCUCUCCCUCCUCUGCCCACAGCCCUCCGUGGCUCCCACCUCCGUCAGGGUCCAAGCCCAGGUCCUCCCGCAGCCCCGGACCCUGCCCAGCCUGCCCGUCCUCUUCCUCCCCGUGUCUCCCCCCUCCCCUGCUGCAGCCACACAGCUCCCUGCUGUGCCUCCAACCUGCCGGCCCCCUCCAACCCCAGGGCCUUUGCGUGGCUCUGCCUCUGCCCCGAAGGCUCUUCUUCCUGAUCUUGGCACAAGAGGGACUUCCCUGGCCUCAGACCCCGACCUGCAAGUCACCUCUGCGAGAGGUCUUCCUGAACCCCCCGCAGUCCCCAGAUCACUGUACCUCUGUGUCCGAGCCAGCAGUCAUGAUGCAAAGCAGUUGUGUGGCUCUUCUCGAGCCAGGACCAGGACCAGGGGUGACCUAGUCCUCCCCGUGGGAGGCCCCUGGCCCCUGCGGCUCCGUGCCAGGCCAACUCUGCUCCUGGCUGGGCUGCGGCUGCGUGCCUUCCCACACGGGAGAGAAAAAACCCACCGUGAGGCUGGACUGGGUCAGCGGUGCAGCCCUCGCCCAGCGCGCGGCCCUGGGUUCCAGCCUCCGCACACACAGAGAUGGAUCGGUAAAAUAAGGGUGUUGUGUCCACUACGACUGAAAAACAAAUGUCUUUUAAAACUCCAUCACGAAUGCGGGGAUGCGAUGUUCACGCGAUUUCCACGCGACGUGAACUACUGUUCUGACUCAGUCUUUUUGAAAUGCAAGAACCGCAACCCCAACAAGAAUCGGAAUUGGAGAAAACCACACUGAGGGCGUCAACUGGCCAGCCACGCGCAAUAGGCAGUUGGCUGGACCUGCAGGCCGCAGGGUGCUGACCCCUGUGGGGAGACUGGACAGUGGAUUCCUGCAGCCCCCACACCACUUCCCCGUGGGGAGGCCCAGGCUCAGCGUCACCAGCCCAGGGCACACAGCGAGGGUGUGGACAGGGUCCGGCUGGCUGCCCGGUGCCGUGUGGCA
rnacentral:lncRNA from 1 species